ensembl:snRNA U1 U1 spliceosomal RNA
ACACUUACCUGGUAGGGGAGGUACCAUGACCAUGAAGAUGGUUUUCCCAGUUAGGUUCAUCCACUUCACACCAGUGUGCUGAUCCCUGCAAUUUCCCCAAAUGUGGGAAGCCCAACUGUAUAAUUUGUGAUAGUGGAGGCUGGUAUUUGCACUAAA